rnacentral:lncRNA from 1 species
UCAUCAAAGAACACGGAGCUGCCCCAUGGAGAAUCAUAUUCCACCUAAGAAAUUCUGCAACAAAAUAGAACACUUUUUCCUAAAGAAGAACAUUUCAGUGUAUGUUAUGGUCACUAUCUCAUUUGUGCUCCCACCACUCACUUGACUAGGAGUAGAUGGUUCUUGGCCCCUUGUUGCUUUCUGCAGGCAGAGUUGUGAGGCCAAAACAGGAGCAAUACACCUUGAGAACUAAACUUUCUCUUUGCAGGUAAGACAGUUAAGAAUAAUUUUCCUAGAAAUGGUAGCACUGUGAGGUGGGAAUGGGAAAG